GGACUUGGUUAGACGACCGCUCUGUCAAUCUGAUGGGGAGGAAAGUCCGAACAUGCCCCAGCCCCACUUUUGUCUGACAAAACUGGGGCUGGGAAACAGGUAGCGGGUAACGCCCGUCGUCCAGCCCCACUUUUGCUGAAUCAUCGCGUAUCAGGGAAAGAGGUGGUUUUGCAAAAGUGGGGCUGGAUAGAGGUGACCACAGUGACGCUGACGGCGAAAGCCCGAGGCUCCCUUCGGGGAGAAUCUCAUCGAAAGACGAGGGUGCAACGAAUAAAUCCUUACCCGCAUGCAAGGCCGUAUCCCGCCAACAUCUGCAAAGUUGUGGCGGGGGGUGCCGCUCGAGCCUGCCAGUAAUGACAGGCCCAGAUAAAUGGUCGUCCACGACAGAAUUCGGCUUAUCGACCAAGUUCACAA
rnacentral:RNase_P_RNA from 1 species